UGAGGAAUAUUGGUCAAUGGGCGGAAGCCUGAACCAGCCAAGUCGCGUGAGGGAAGACGGCCCUACGGGUUGUAAACCUCUUUUGCCGGGAGCAAUGCCCAGCUCGCGAGCUGGGAAGGAGAGUACCCGGAGAAAAAGCAUCGGCUAACUCCGUGCC
rnacentral:rRNA from 1 species